rnacentral:rRNA from 1 species
UGGAGAGUUUGAUCCUGGCUCAGAUUGAACGCUGGCGGCAGGCCUAACACAUGCAAGUCGAGCGGAAACGAGUUAUCUGAACCUUCGGGGRACGAUAACGGCGUCGAGCGGCGGACGGGUGAGUAAUGCCUAGGAAAUUGCCCUGAUGUGGGGGAUAACCAUUGGAAACGAUGGCUAAUACCGCAUGAUGCCUACGGGCCAAAGAGGGGGACCUUCGGGCCUCUCGCGUCAGGAUAUGCCUAGGUGGGAUUAGCUAGUUGGUGAGGUAAGGGCUCACCAAGGCRACGAUCCCUAGCUGGUCUGAGAGGAUGAUCAGCCACACUGGAACUGAGACACGGUCCAGACUCCUACGGGAGGCAGCAGUGGGGAAUAUUGCACAAUGGGCGCAAGCCUGAUGCAGCCAUGCCGCGUGUGUGAAGAAGGCCUUCGGGUUGUAAAGCACUUUCAGUCGUGAGGAAGGURGURKWGUUAAUAGCWSYWUYAUUUGACGUUAGCGACAGAAGAAGCACCGGCUAACUCCGUGCCAGCAGCCGCGGUA